UACGUAGGGGGCAAGCGUUGUCCGGAAUCAUUGGGCGUAAAGCGCGUGUAGGCGGCUUCGUCAGUCCGUUGUGAAAGUCCAGGGCUCAACCCUGGAAUGCCGAUGGAUACUGCGGAGCUCGAGUCCGGAAGAGGCGAGUGGAAUUCCUGGUGUAGCGGUGAAAUGCGCAGAUAUCAGGAGGAACACCAAUGGCGAAGGCAGCUCGCUGGGACGGUACUGACGAUGAGACGCGAAAGCGUGGGGAGCAAACAGG
rnacentral:rRNA from 1 species